UCCGAGUUGACCCCGGCAGUCUCCCAUGAGUCCCCGGCUUAACCCGCUUGCAACAUGGAACGAGGGUUGCGCUCGUUGCGGGACUUAACCCAACAUCUCACAACACGAGCUGACGACAGCCAUGCAACACCUGUGUAGGGCCCUUGCGGACACCGUGUCUCCACGGCUUUUCCCUGCAUGUCAAGCCCAGGUAAGGUUUUUCGCGUAGCGUCGAAUUAAACCACACGCUCCGCUGCUUGUGCGGGCCCCCGUCAAUUCCUUUGAGUUUUAGCCUUGCGGCCGUAGUCCCCAGGCGGGACACUUAUUGCGUUAGCUACGGCACAGAGGGGGUCGAUACCCCCCACACCUAGUGUCCAUCGUUUACAGCGUGGACUAC
rnacentral:misc_RNA from 1 species